CAGUGGGUCCCAUUUUAAACCUUAAUAGAGAUGGUGAUUGUGACGAGGAGUCUGAUAAAUACAAAGACAUCAAGCAAUGGCUUGAUGAUCAGCCCCUAUCCUCAGUAGUGUAUCUAUGCUUCGGGAGCAGGGGGAGUUUCGGAGUGGAUCAGGUGAAGGAAAUUGCAUGGGGGCUAGAGCAGAGCGGGCAUCGAUUCUUGUGGUCUCUACGGAAACCACCACCGGUAGGGAAGAUGGAACUUCCAAGCGAUUACACUAAUCCUCGGGAUGUCUUACCUGAAGGAUUUCUGGAUCGGACGGCUAUCACAGGAAAAAUAAUUGGAUGGGCCCCGCAGACAGAUAUUUUGGCCCAUCCAUCCGUAGGAGGGUUCGUAUCGCACUGUGGAUGGAACUCUAUAUUGGAAAGCAUAUGGUUUGGCGUUCCAAUUGCCGCGUGGCCAUUAUAUGCAGAGCAACAACUGAAUGCCUUUCAAAUGAUUGUUGAGCUCGGAUUGGGAGUGGAGAUUAAAAUGGAUUAUAGAAGAGAGUUUAUCUCGGAUGGUAAUGAAGAUGUCAUUAGUGCCGGGGAGAUCGAGAGAGGAGUAAGGUGUUUAAUGGAGCUUUGCGAUGAGAAGAGGGAGAAGUUGAAGGAGAUGAGAGAGAAGAGCAGGAAGGCUUUGGAGAACGGUGGAACCUCGUUCACAUGGCUAGGUCGUUUCAUUCAAGAUACGGUGGACCACGUACCAUGAUUAAAUGGUACUCUCUUCGUAUUAUUUAAUACUGUGUCUUUGCGUUGAAAUAUUGUCUUUCAAAAUAAAUAAAUAAAUAUGGUUCAUUGAAAUCAGAGUUUUACCAUGCAUAGUAAAAUGAUUUGUGCAUUGAAAUUAUCACUUUAGCCCUAUUAAGAAAAACUCAAUGAACUUCAUCUCAAGGACAAAUAUUCUUAAAAAGAUAUUAAACUUAUAUAUAUUAAGCCAGGGUUGGAAAAAGGAUAUUAAACAAGGAAAUUUUUUAAAGAGUGAUCGAUAAUAAUUUUUUAAAUAAAUUCUUUGAAUAUAUAUAUAUAUAUAUAUAUAGAAAAUUGAGAGAUUUAGAAUCCUUUAAUUGAGUGAUUCCAGGAAGCCAUUUUUUUUUUUUUUUGUUGGAGUUGAAGUAGAUGGGUUAGAGUCAUUUCAUUUUUAUAUAUUGAAUUUGAAUUAUGAGUUUUAUUUCCCUUAAUAUACCCAAAAUACCGCAACCACAUACUUGUCUUUCCACUAAAUUUAUUCAAUUUGGAGAGGGAGAUGUAGUAGGUGAUUAGAGACUUUAAUACACAACCUGUUAAGUUAAAUUUUGUUGAAUUGCUAAUAAUUUUUUUAAUAAAAAAAUUUGGCUUGAUGUGACCUGAUCAGGAUAUAAAAAUAAUUUAGGUUGGCUAUAAAAAUAUAAUUUGAUUAAAAAAAUUAAAAUAAUAUUUUUAUAAAAAAAUAUUAAAAUAAUAACAUCUUGAUACAGAUCAACUUAAAUUAAUCUAUAAAUUUUCCAAUUAUAAUUAUAAAAUUAUUAUAAUAAAAUUUAAUUUUUAAUCAAUUUUAAAUAAUAAAAUUAAAAAAAUCUAAACAUAACAUAAUUUAAUCCAAAUUAACCUAUUAAUCCAAAUUAACCUUCUUUUCCUCGCUCAAGCUAGAAGGUUCAGGGAAAGUAAGGGUAUUAAACACAAAUAAAGAGCUGGAAUCUCAUGCGAUCAACUCCUUUUCUAAUGGCAAUACCCCUCCCGUGUGUCAGUGGGUCCCAUUUUAAACAAUGGCUUGAUGAUCAGCCUCUAUCAUCAGUGGUGCAUAUAUGCUUCGGGAGCAUGGGAAGUUUCGGUGUGGAUCAGGUGAAGGAAAUCGCAUGUGGGCUAGAGCAGGGCGGCCAUCGAUUCUUGUGGUCUCUACGUAAACCACCACCGAAAGGCAGGAUGGAACUUCUUCCAAGCGAUUACACUAAUCCUCGGGAUGUCUUACCUAAAGGAUUUUUUUUGAUCGGACGACUAACAUUGGAAAAAUAAUUGGAUGGGCUCCACAGAUGAAUAUUUUGGCUCAUCCUUCGGUGGGAGGGUUUGUAUCGUACCGUGGAUGGAAUUCUAUAUUGGAAAGCAUGGUGUUCCAACUUCCAAUUGCUGCCUGGCAGAGCACAAACUAAAGCUUUUCAAAUAGUUGUAGAGUUAGGGUUGGGAGUGGAGAUUAAAAUAAUUAAAAGAAUUGAACUCGGAUGGUAAAAGCCUAAUUAUUUUAAUUUUUUUUAUGUUUAUUUUGAACACUUUAAAGAAAGAACUAGAUAAAAUGUUAAAAUAUUUUUUCUCUUUCAUAAAUAAUAUUUUUAUAUAUUUUUCAAAAAAGUCAAAAUCAACAAAAUAGCUUUUACCAUCACCAUCACAAUAUAAUUAGCUUUUCAAACGAUUUUUUUCCAUUAGAAUAGAUAUUAUAAAAAAAAACUAUAUUUAUACUAUUUAAAAUGCUAUUUUAUCAAUUUAACUUUUUAAAAUAGUAUUUUUCAUUGGAGAUGCUCUUACAGCAAAGCCAUGACCUCAGUCUUUAAUUUUGUGCCUCACGUGAUUGGGAUGUAAUUCAGUUAGUCAUAUUAUAAAUUUAUUCGAAUCUCGUAAAUUUCAAGGUUAUUAAAGAUUUAUAUGAUUGUUAAUUUUAAAAUUAAUUAAGAUACGUGUAAGGCGGAACAAAUAUUUACAUUAAUGAAAUAAAAAAAUCUUGUGCUACACAUGCAUGAUAUUUUUAACAAAGAAUAGUCAAGUACACUUCAUUAUAGCCCCUUAUAGUGCACCUAAGAAGGACACGAAGAUCAGUCUUUUGCAUUCCUCCUUGAACUCUCUAGCUACUCAGUUGCAUAAAUGAAGAAAGCUGAGCUAGUCGCCAUACCAGCACCUGGUAGAAGCCACCUUAUGUCCACCUUAGUCUCCAUACGGCAAUUCAUUUUUUGGGGUCUUUCUGACGAAUUGUAAAAGCAGUCCACAAUGACAGCAAAGCCAUGACCUCACUCUCACUCUUGGCCUGCACGGCUGCACGUAUAUCUUUUUCAACAAUAAAUUGCCAAUCUCAAGUCCACUUAAUUAUAGCCACAAACAGUGCCUUUAAAAGGACACUGAGGCUUUUGGCUCGGCACUGGGAGGAGCUUUGUUUCUUUCCUGAGUUCGAAUCUUCAUGUGUAUGUUUGUUAUUUUCAUGGUGUUUUAUAUAUCUAUUAGGUUUGCAGGGUAUUUAGUAGUCGUGAAAUUAAUCGUGGUGAAGAAAAAAAAUCAGUCUUUUACAUGCAAUCCCACCUGGAAAUUCUCUAGCAAAUAGAGGAAAAAAAAAAAAAUAAGUCGCAGAAUGAAGAAAGCUGAGCUGGUCUUCAUACCAAAGUGUUGAUGAUUAAACCAAAGCAUAGAUCUAGAUAAUAUAGAUUAUAGUUGUUAAACUGGGUUCAGUAAUCUACUCAAAAUAAAAUUUAAAUCACUAAGUUACAAGGUCUCAUGUCAAUUAUUUUUAUUAAAAUAUAGGUGUUAUUUGGUUCUAGAUUUUUUUUAUGAAAAAAAGAAAUUCUUAGUGUUGACGUGUCUAGGUGUGACCUAGUUAAUAGGGUUAUUAAAUAAGUUUUUUUGUGUGUCUAUAUAUAACUUUAACUUGGCCCAGAUCAAAUUUAAAAUCCUUACUUUUUUAGAUUAUUUUAUCAAGUUAAACUAAGUUUAAUCAUUAUGACAUUUGGUUUUUUUUUCUUGAUUUAAAUUUCAAGAUUAGUGUUUAUUUAAAAAAAAAAUACACCUCACUGAUAAAAGAUGAUGUGUUUUUUUAGUUAUUCAUAACCUAAAUUUAAUCUCUAUUAACAUCAAUCCUAAAACAUCAAUAUAUAAGCAUAGAAAAUUCAGCCUAUUGUAAAAGAGAUUUAAAUUUCUGACAGGGACGGCAUCCCAUUUUUUUGGGUCUUCUCGACGAAUUGUAAAAGCAGUCCACAAUCACAGCAAAGCCAUGACCUCACUCUUAUUCUUGUCCUGCUCGAAUGUAGUUUUGAACAGUACAUUGCCAAUCUCAAGUCCACUUAAUUAUAGCCACAAACAGUGCCUUUAAAAAGGAUAUGAAAAUCAGUCUCUUACAAGCAAUCCCACCUCGAAAUUCUCUGGCAAAUAAAGAAAAAAAAAGGAGCUCAGUAGCAGAAUGAAGAAAGCUGAGCUGGUCUUCAUACCAACACCAGGUAUCAGCCACCUCGUAUCCACAGUAGAGGUAGCAAAGCUUCUUGUUGACCGUGAUGAGAGGCUUUCAGUCACCUUCCUAAUCAUGAAAAUACGUUCUGACCCCAAGAUUGAUAGGUUUAUAAAUUCAAUGAGUACAGCCUGUAAUCGUAUCCGCUUCAUUGACUUGCCUAAAGAUGAGCCUGAUCCAAACCAACCCAGGAAGUUUCUCUUUUCUAUGUUUGAAGCCCAGAUACCCCAUGUCAAAGAUGAAGUCUCUAAGCUUGUGAGCCUGUCCGAGUCAAGCCCUGACUCGCCUACACUUUCUGGGUUUGUUCUCGAUAUGUUUUGUACACCAAUGAUAGACGUGGCCAAUGAAUUUGGUGUUCCCUCAUAUAUUUUCCUUACGUCAGGUGCAGCUUUUCUUGGCCUCCAAUUUUAUGUUCAGGCUCUUCACGAUGAGCAGAAAGUUGACCCUACUGAGUUCAAGGGCUCGGAUGCUGAGUUGGUCAUGCCGUGUUUGGCAAAUCCUGUUCCAGCUAAGGUCUUGCCUUCUGUUUUGCUUAACAAAGAGUGGCUGCCAAAUAUGCUCCGUCAAGCUAGAAGGUUUAGAGAAACUAAGGGUAUUAUAAUAAACACAUUUGAAGAGCUGGAAUCCCAUGCGAUCAACUCCUUUUCUAAAGGUAAUAGCCCUCCGGUAUAUCCAGUGGGUCCCAUUUUAAACCUUAAUAGAGAUGGUGAUUGUGACGAGGAGUCUGAUAAAUACAAAGACAUCAAGCAAUGGCUUGAUGAUCAGCCCCUAUCCUCAGUAGUGUAUCUAUGCUUCGGGAGCAUGGGGAGUUUCGGAGUGGAUCAGGUGAAGGAAAUUGCUUAUGGGCUAGAGCAGAGCGGGCACCGAUUCUUGUGGUCUCUACGUCAACCACCACCGGAAGGGAAGAUGGAAGCUCCAAGCGAUUACACUGAUCCUCGGGAUGUCUUACCUGAAGGAUUUUUGGAUCGGACGGCUAACACAGGAAAAAUAAUUGGAUGGGCCCCACAGACAGAUAUUUUGGGCCAUCCAUCCGUAGGAGGGUUUGUAUCGCACUGUGGAUGGAACUCUAUAUUGGAAAGCAUAUGGUUUGGCGUUCCGAUUGCCGCGUGGCCAUUAUAUGCAGAGCAACAACUCAAUGCCUUUCAAAUGAUUGUUGAGCUCGGAUUGGGAGUGGAGAUUAAAAUGGAUUAUAGAAGAGAGUUUAUCUCGAAUGGUAAUGAAACUGUCAUUAGUGCCGGGGAGAUCGAGAGAGGAGUAAGGUGUUUAAUGGAGCUUUGCGAUGAGAAGAGGGAGAAGUUGAAGGAGAUGAGUGGAAAGAGCAGGAAGGCUUUGGAGAACGGUGGAUCCUCGUUCACAUGGUUAGGUCGUUUCAUUCAAGAUACGAUGGACCACCUACAAUGAUUAAAUUACUAGAUGCCAUCCCGGUGCCGCAGGCUUGUGGUAUAUUUAUAUAUUAUUGUAGAUUUAUGAAAAAAAUAAAAAUAUAUAUAUAAAAAGAGAAAAAUUGUUGCAAAUGUUUUCAAAAAAAAAAGUAAAAUUUUUAAUCAGUUUAAUAUUUAAAAAAUAAAAUAAUAAAAGAAAAUUUUUAAAAAAUUCACAUAAAAAAAAAACGAAAGGAAAGAAAAACUUUGUAAUAAAAUACUGUAAUAAUUUAUAGUGUUUCAUAAAAAAAUUCAUAAUUAUAAUUCUUAACUAACUCAAUAGUUAAAAUAAUAAAAUUAAUAAAAAUAAUUUUAAAAAAUUUCGUAACAAUAAAAAAUUAUAUGGUGGAAAACUGUAAUAAUCUACUCUACUUGACUUGGGCUAGGGCUUGAAUUGGCCUCUUGACUUUUUGGAGCUUGGGCAUUUCUUUGCUGGGUAUUCUUUUUCUUCAAUUGAACUUCUCUCUGCCCAUACAAACACAAAAAAAGAUAAAAAAAUAAUAAAAAAAAACAUGUAGGAAAAGUUAAAACUAAAUUCUAAAUCAGUUAAAUAUUAAAAAAAACAUUCGGGAAAGAUAAUUUAAAAAAAAACAUGUAGAUAAACACUGUAGCAAAACAAAAACCAUGUGGGGAAACGUUAUUACAGUCCAUAGUGUUUUUUUAAAAAAAAACUACGAAGCAAAAUUCAUAACCAGCUUAAUAUGAAAAAAAAAAAUCGACAAAGAUUAUUUUUAAAAAAAUCAUGAAAAAAAAGAAAACAAAUGUGUGAAAACAUUGCAGUAAUCCAAAAUGUUUUUUAAAAAAACUACAGAAUUAAAUUUUCAACUAGUUCAAUAUUAAAAAACAUUGACAAAGAUAAUUUAAAAAAAAACACAAAAAGAAAAAAGAAGAUAAUCUUAGGGGAUAAAAAGAAAAAAAAUGUAAAAUAAAAAAAAAAGGUAAAAACGAUAAAAAAAAAAUUAGGGAAAGAUUAAAAAAAAAGGGAAAAAAAAAGACAAAAUACAAAAGUAACUGAAAAAACAAAAACAACACAAAACAAAAUUAAAAAUAUUAAAAAACAAAAACAUGUAAGGAAAGUGUUUUAAAGUUUUUGUUUAAGUUGUUUUAUUGUUAUAAUUAUAGCUGUCGGAUCUUCUUGGGAAUUUAUACGAAAAAUCCAAGAGGCUAUGAAGUGAAUCUGGAUGCACUAUUUUUAUAGAAAAACUAAUAUUUUAUUAUUUUCUUAUGUUGAUCAACAAGAUUAUUAGGGUUGGAUUUAGCAACGACAAGGAGAACGAUGUCGUAUGAAUUUGAUUUAAUUAAAUAUCUUUGUAAAACUGAGCCUAAAUCAGGCUUUCAAUUUCAAAUUUCUUGUACCAAUCCACUAAACUAACCCUUAAAAGGUUCAUUACCUGGGAAGUCAUUCUAAAAUGACGAAAUGAUAGUCACUUUUCUGACAAAAAUUCAUUGAAAAAGUCAAAACAUCUACGACGCAGAUCUCCAAUGUUUUCAUUUUCUAAAACCAUCACCAAAAGCUCUUUUUUUUUUUUUCCGGAUGGUUAUCGUUAUUAUGUUAUUUUUGUUGAUGUCCACACAAAAUAUAUAUGGUAUUAUCCAUUUAUUGUAAAAUCUGAUGUUUAUUCUAUUUUUCAUCAAUUUUAAACUUUUAUCGAGCAUCAAUUUUCAUCAAAAAUAAAAUAUGUUCAAACUGAUUGGGGCAGUGACUCUCCAUUUUCUUUCAAACCAUUAGUAUUUAUCACCAUUUGAUAUGUCCUCACACUUGCGAACAAAAUGGAAUAGUAAAAAGACAUCAUUGACAUAUUGUGGAAACCGACCUUACUCUUUUAGGCCAAUGUAAAUCUCCAUUCCGCUUUUGGAAUUAUGCUUUUGAAACUUUGGUUUAUCUCAUCAAUCGCAUGCCUAUUCUUGUUCUUGCAAAUCGAUCUCCAUAUGAUUGUUUGUGUCAUUGUUCUACUUAUUAUCAUUUUUUGCGUACUUUUGGAUGUCUCUGUUUUCCCUUUUUGCGUCCUUAUAAUAAUCAUAAACCGGAUUUUCAGUCUUUUCCAUGUGUGUUUUAUGGCUACAGUUCUUCUCACCUUGGUUAUCGAUGUUUUGACAUUGAAUCUUAUCACAUGUAUAUCUUCUGUUAUGUCUGUUUUCAUGAACAUGUUUUUUCGUUUGAUAAUUCUGAACAUAUUACAUAGGUUUUGGCUCAAAACCACACACUAUUUCCUGCUACCAUCCUCCCAAAUCUGACCCACACCCCAUUAUUCACCGAUCAUGACACACCCCAUUCCGCCUCAGCCUCUACCCUGCAUUCACCUCCUACUAAAACACCACAGUCUCUACCUUUCACUUGCCGAUCACCAUAUACAUCUUUAUCUCACCAUUCUGUUGCAGGUACAUGUUGUAGAUUAGUUUUCCCUACACUCCAGCACGAUGUCUCUGCUAGUACUGGGAAACCCUUUGGUUCCUCCUUUGCUUCCCCUUUAUUUUGCCAGUCACCUGGCUUCUGAAGACUCUGUCUUUGUUGCCAACCUUGUUGUUGUUGGCAGCCCUCUGCUUGAGGCAACUUCUUCACCUAGUUUGAAUCUAGUGAUUGAUCUCUCCGCUUAUCCACUACAGCAGGACACCUCUGUGACACCAACCUCCGCUGCAUCACCAUCGUUUCUCAGCUGCCACCUUAUGGUCCUUAGACCGCGACAGCCCAAAACCGCAAAUAUGAUGGCCUCUACUGCAGCUGAUACAGUUGCCACUUGAGUAUUGCUAUCUCCUUCUUCUGAACCAAUUGCCUUCUCUGAUUUAGAUAAAUAUGUUGAUUGGCAUGAUGUUAUAUGUGAAGAGAUCAAGGCAUUGCGUUCCAACCACACUUGGUCCCUAAUGCCCCUUCAUCCUUCGAUGAAUGUUGUUGGCAAUCGAUGAAUAUAUCGGAUCAAACAUCGUGUUGAUGGUAGCAUUGAAUGUUAUAAAGCCCGUCUAGUUGCUAAAGGCUUUACCCAACAGGAAAGCAUUGAUUAUUCUGAAACUUUAGUCCAGUUAUUAAGCAGGCCACCAUCAGAUUAGUCUUGUCCAUUACGGUUUCACGUAAUUAGAAGAUUCAUAAGCUCGAUAUUCAUAAUGCAUUUCUCAAUGGUGUUCUUAUUGAAGAAGUCUACAUGAAGCAACCUCCAGAUUUUAUUGACCCUACUCUUCCAUCUCAUGUGUGCAAAUUGUACAAGUCAUUAUAUGGUUUAAAACAGACACCAAGGGCAUGGUACACCCAUCUGAGUAAGUUUUUACUCUCCAUUGGUUUCCUUGCCUUCAAGGUUGACACCUCCUUGUUUUAUCUUAUUUGAUGGUACUAAUAUCUUUUUUCUCCUAGUAUAUGUUGAUGAUAUUCUACUUAUGGGUAGCAACUCUGUCAUGUUUCAUCACCUAAUCCAGUUACUCAGCUUAGAAUUCAAGCUUCGUGACUUAGGUAUUGUUCACUAUUGUCUGGGUAUUGAAGUUCAGUAUACAAGUAUAGGUUUAAUGUUGCGCCAACACAAAUAUAUUAUUCACAUCCUCACUCGAGGUGGUAUGCCUUCUUGUUAACCCGUUGAUACUCUAGGUUCCCUCCAUCUCUGCUCCUUGGUGCGAUCUAUCUCUCAGCAAAUCCUAUCUUUCAUGCUUGUAUUAAACAUAUUGAGGUAGAUUAUCACUUUGUCUGCAAAGAAGAAAAUUCAUAUUCGCUUUAUCCCUUCUCGGGAUCAACUUGUUGAUGUCUUCAACAAAUCACUUUCUGUUGUGUCUUUUACUGCUUUCAGGUUUAAGCUUCGGGUCGAUCCUCAACCCUCAACUUGAAGGGACAUAUUAUAGAAUGUAUAGCAUGUAUAUCUUUCAAUAAAAAAUUAAUGUAGAAUUAUUUUAAUGUUAUAAUCCCUAUAAUAACGAUCGUAUUCUACCUUACAUGUAUAUAUCAAAAAAAUUGAUUAAUAACAACCUAAAUCAUUAUGUUAUUCUCGAUUUCUAUUAUCAUCAAUUAAAAAAAAAUAGAAAAUUCAGCCCAUAAUACGAUAGGGAGGGCAAAAUAUUCAGCCCAUAAUAACUGAGCAACAGCUAAUAAGGGUUCAAAAAACGUUGUCUUUUCAUGACUUAAAUUACUGACAGGAACGGCAUCGCUUUUUUUUGGGUCUUCUUGACGAAUUGUAAAAGCAGUCCACAAUGACAGCAAAGCCAUGACCUCACUCUCACUCUUGUCCUGCACGUAUAUAUUUUUGAGCAGUAAAUUGCCAAUCUCAAGUCCACUUAAUUAUAGCCACAAGUAGUGCCCUUAAAAAGGAUAUGAAAAUCAGUCUUUUACAUGCAAUCCCACCUUGAAAUUCUCUAGCAAAUAAAGAAAAAAUUAAAGAGCUCAGUCGCAGAAUGAAGAAAGCUGAGCUGGUCUUCAUACCAACACCAGGUAUCAGCCACCUCCUAUCCACAGUAGAGGUAGCAAAGCUUCUUCUAGACCGUGAUGAGAGGCUUUCAAUCACCUUCCUCAUCAUGAAAAUACGUUCUGACCCCAAGAUUGAGAGGUUUAUAAAUUCAGUGAGUACAGCCUGUAAUCGUAUCCGCUUCAUUGACUUGCCUAAAGAUGAGCCUGAUCCAAACCAACCCAGGAAGUUUCUCUUUUCUUUGAUUGAAACCCAGAUACCCCAUGUCAAAGAUGAAGUCUCUAAGCUUGUGAGCCAGUCCGAGUCAAGCCCUGACUCGCCUACACUUUCUGGGUUUGUUCUCGAUAUGUUUUGUACACCAAUGAUGGACGUGGCCAAUGAAUUUGGUAUUCCCUCAUAUAUUUUCCUUACGUCAGGUGCAGCUUCUCUUGGCGUCCAAUUUUAUGUUCAGGCUCUUCACGAUGAGCAGAAAGUUGACCCUACUGAGUUCAAGGGCUCUGAUGCUGAGUUGGUCAUGCCGUGUUUGGCAAAUCCUGUUCCAGCUAAGGUCUUGCCCUCUGUUUUGCUUAACAAAGAGCGGCUGCCGCAUAUGCUCCGUCAAGCUAGAAGGUUUAGAGAAACUAAGGGUAUUAUAAUAAACACAUUUGAAGAGCUGGAAUCGCAUGCGAUCAACUCCUUUUCUAAAGGUAAUAUCCCUCCGGUAUAUCCAGUGGGUCCCAUUUUAAACCUUAAUAGAGAUGGUGAUUGUGACGAGGAGUCUGAUAAAUACAAAGACAUCAAGCAAUGGCUUGAUGAUCAGCCCCUAUCCUCAGUAGUGUAUCUAUGCUUCGGGAGCAUGGGGAGUUUCGGAGUGGAUCAGGUGAAGGAAAUUGCUUAUGGGCUAGAGCAGAGCGGGCACCGAUUCUUGUGGUCUCUACGUCAACCACCACCGGAAGGGAAGAUGGAAGCUCCAAGCGAUUACACUGAUCCUCGGGAUGUCUUACCUGAAGGAUUUUUGGAUCGGACGGCUAACACAGGAAAAAUAAUUGGAUGGGCCCCGCAGACAGAUAUUUUGGGCCAUCCAUCCGUAGGAGGGUUCGUAUCGCACUGUGGAUGGAACUCUAUAUUGGAAAGCAUAUGGUUUGGCGUUCCGAUUGCCGCGUGGCCAUUAUAUGCAGAGCAACAACUCAAUGCCUUUCAAAUGAUUGUUGAGCUCGGAUUGGGAGUGGAGAUUAAAAUGG
rnacentral:lncRNA from 1 species